rnacentral:rRNA from 1 species
GACGUAGGGGGCCAGCGUUGCUCGGAAUUACUGGGCGUAAAGGGUCCGUAGGCGGUGCGGUAAGUCGGGAGUGAAAUCUCUGGGCUUAACUCAGAGGCUGCUUCCGAAACUACCGUGCUAGAGUGCGAGAGAGGCAAGUGGAAUUGCGGGUGUAGCGGUGAAAUGCGUAGAUAUCAGGAAGAACACCUAUGGCGAAGGCAGCACUCUGGGACGGUACUGACGCUGAGACGCGAAAGCGUGGGGAGCGAACAGG